rnacentral:rRNA from 1 species
AGAGUUUGAUCAUGGCUCAGAACGAACGCUGGCGGCGCGUUUAAAGCAUGCAAGUCGAACGGAAUUAUAGGGCUUCGGUUCUAUAGUUUAGUGGCGAACGGGUGAGUAACGCGUAGAUGAUCUACCUUCGGGUGGGGGAUAGUCCCUCGAAAGGGGGUUUAAUACCGCGUAAAGUGUAUUGGAUAAUGCUGAUACAUGAAAGCCGCGAGGCACCUGGAGAUGAGUCUGCGUACCAUUAGUUAGUUGGUGGGGUAAAGGCCUACCAAGGCGAAGAUGGUUAGCCGGUCUGAGAGGAUGGCCGGUCACAUUGGGACUGAGACACGGCCCAGACUCCUACGGGAGGCAGCAGCUAAGAAUCUUCCGCAAUGGGCGAGAGCCUGACGGAGCGACGCCGCGUGGACGAAGAAGGCCUUAUGGGUUGUAAAGUCCUUUUUAUAUUGGAAAAUGUACCCUUUUAGGGGGUACUGAUGGUAGAUAUAGAAUAAGCCCCGGCUAAUUACGUGCCAGCAGCCGCGGUAAUACGUAAGGGGCGAGCGUUGUUCGGAAUUAUUGGGCAUAAAGGGCGCGUAGGCGGUCUUGCAAGUUAUGGGUGGAAAGUCUGGGCUCAACCUGGAUCGUGCCCAUAAAACUGUAGGACUAGAGUUUAGGAGAGGAUGCUGGAAUUCCUGGUGUAGGGGUGGAAUCUAUAGAUAUCAGGAGGAACACCUGUGGCGAAGGCGAGCAUCUGGCCAUAAACUGAGCUGAGGCGCGAAAGCGUGGGGAGCAAACAGGAUUAGAUACCCUAGUAGUCC